rnacentral:rRNA from 1 species
ACCUACGGGACGCAGCAGUGAGGAAUCUUGCGCAAUGGGGGCAACCCUGACGCAGCAACGCCGCGUGAGUGAGGAAGGUCUUCGGAUCGUAAAGCUCUGUCAGAUGGAAAGAACCGCAUGGGGGUGAAUAUCCCCUAUGUCUGACGGUACCAUCAAAGGAAGCACCGGCUAACUCCGUGCCAGCAGCCGCGGUAAUACGGGGGGUGCAAGCGUUGUUCGGAAUUAUUGGGCGUAAAGAGCGUGUAGGCGGCCUGAUGUGUCAGAUGUGAAAGCCCUGGGCUUAACCCAGGAAGUGCAUUUGAAACUGUCAGGCUUGAGUAGGGGAGAGGGAAGUGGAAUUCCUGGUGUAGAGGUGAAAUUCGUAGAUAUCAGGAGGAACACCGGUGGCGAAGGCGACUUCCUGGCCCUAUACUGACGCUGAGACGCGAGAGCGUGGGUAGCAAACAGGAUUAGAUACCCCGGU